rnacentral:rRNA from 1 species
UGGAGAGUUUGAUCCUGGCUCAGAUUGAACGCUGGCGGCAGGCCUAACACAUGCAAGUCGAGCGGUAGCACAGGAGAGCUUGCUCUCUGGGUGACGAGCGGCGGACGGGUGAGUAAUGUCUGGGAAACUGCCUGAUGGAGGGGGAUAACUACUGGAAACGGUAGCUAAUACCGCAUGACGUCGCAAGACCAAAGUGGGGGACCUUCGGGCCUCACGCCAUCGGAUGUGCCCAGAUGGGAUUAGCUAGUAGGUGAGGUAAUGGCUCACCUAGGCGACGAUCCCUAGCUGGUCUGAGAGGAUGACCAGCCACACUGGAACUGAGACACGGUCCAGACUCCUACGGGAGGCAGCAGUGGGGAAUAUUGCACAAUGGGCGCAAGCCUGAUGCAGCCAUGCCGCGUGUGUGAAGAAGGCCUUAGGGUUGUAAAGCACUUUCAGCGAGGAGGAAGGCGUUGYAGUUAAUAGCUGCAGCGAUUGACGUUACUCGCAGAAGAAGCACCGGCUAACUCCGUGCCAGCAGCCGCGGUA